AUAGACCAGAACAGCUCAAGGACAGAACAACAUGAAUUUAAAAAGGCAAACGUAGCCUUCAUAUCAAUACACACAAACUAUCUAGGUCAAAUAGGGGAGAGGCGAUGUGAGGUGUUGCUUUAUCUGUUGUUUGAAACCAGGUUUGCUGUUCAUCUCAACAAUAUGAGAUGGAACGGAGUUCCAUGCAAUAAUGUCUCUAUAUAAUACCGUACGCUUUCUUGAAUUUGUUCUGGAUUUGGGGACUGUGAAAAGACCCCUGGUGGCAUGUCUGGUUGGAACUCAACCACACGACUGGACAAUAAUGAAGAUAAAACACAACUAGAGCCUGCAGGACUCAGAGCAUCUCUGAAUCUAUAUGUUUUGACCAUGACAGUUUACAAUCUAAGCAGCAUCUACCCUUUACGGUAUAAUACGGUCCAGAACUGCACUGUUUGUCAUUGAUACGGUAUUUAUAUUACCGGCGUACUGAACUUUACUUGCCACUGAGCUGCUUGUAAGUUACUGUCAAAUUCACAGCGACCCCUUUACAGUGUAG
ensembl:lncRNA